AUUGAACGCUGGCGGAAUGCUUUACACAUGCAAGUCGAACGGCAGCACGGACUUCGGUCUGGUGGCGAGUGGCGAACGGGUGGGUAACAUAUCGGAACGUAUCCAAUAAUGGGGGAUAACGAGUCGAAAGAUUCGCUAAUACCGCAUACGCCCUACGGGGGAAAGCUGGGGACCUUCGGGCCUGGCGUUAAUGGAGCGGCCGAUAUCUGAUUAGCUAGUUGGUGAGGUAAAGGCUCACCAAGGCGACGAUCAGUAGGUGGUCUGAGAGGACGACCAGCCACACUGGAACUGAGACACGGUCCAGACUCCUACGGGAGGCAGCAGUGGGGAAUUUUGGACAAUGGGCGCAAGCCUGAUCCAGCCAUUCCGCGUGAGUGAAGAAGGCCUUCGGGUUGUAAAGCUCUUUCGCAAGGGAAGAAAACUUAGCCACUAACAUUGGUUGAGGUUGACGGUACCUUGAUAAGAAGCACCGGCUAACUACAUGCCAGCCGCCGCCGUAA
rnacentral:rRNA from 1 species